rnacentral:rRNA from 1 species
UUCGCAAUGGGCGCAAGCCUGACGGUGCGACGCCGCGUGUAGGAUGAAGGCCUUCGGGUCGUAACCUACUGUCAUGAGGGAGCAACGGUUCUGGUGUUAACACCACCGGGAAGUGAUAGUACCUCAGAAGGAAGCCACGGCUAACUCUGUGCCAGCAGCCGCGGUAAUACAGAGGCGGCAAGCGUUGUUCGGAUUUACUGGGCGUAAAGGGUGCGUAGGCGGUUCCGUAUGUCGGAUGUGAAAUUUCACUGCUUAACGGUGUAACUGCAUCUGAAACUACGGGGAUAGAGUUCAGGAGAGGCAAGCGGAAUUCUCGGUGUAGCGGUGAAAUGCGUAGAUAUCGAGAGGAACACCGGUGGCGAAGGCGGCUCUCUGGACUGAUACUGACGCUGAGGCACGAAAGCUGGGGGAG